rnacentral:rRNA from 1 species
GAUGAACGCUGACCGAAUGCUUAACACAUGCAAGUCUUUGGUGAAGCUGUGCUUGCACAGCCUAGCCAAGGCGGACGGGUGAGUAACGCGUAAGGAACUUGCCCUGCAGUCAGGGAUAACAGACGGAAACGACUGAUAAGACCUGGUAAAGUCAGGCGGACUCAUGUCCAGCCUGAUGAAAAGAGAUGCUGCAGGAGAGCCUUGCGUCCUAUUAGCUUGUUGGUGGGGUAACGGCCCACCAAGGCAAUGAUAGGUAGCCGGCCUGAGAGGGUGGACGGCCACAAGGGGACUGAGAUACGGCACUUACUCCUACGGGAGGCAGCAGUGGGGAAUAUUGGACAAUGGGGGCAACCCUGAUCCAGCAAUUCUGUGUGCACGAUGAAGGUUUUCGGAUUGUAAAGUGCUUUCAGAAGGGAAGAAAAAAAUGACGGUACCUACAGAAGAAGCGACGGCUAAAUACGUG